GCCUAAUAAUGCAGUCGAGCGAGCUGAUUCAAAGAUCCCUUCGGGGUGAUUUGUUGGACGCUAGCGGCGGAUGGGUGAGUAACACGUGGGCAAUCUGCCCUAAAGACUGGGAUACCACUUGGAAACAGGUGCUAAUACCGGAUAACAACAUGAAUCGCAUGAUUCAAGUUUGAAAGGCGGCGCAAGCUGUCACUUUAGGAUGAGCCCGCGGCGCAUUAGCUAGUUGGUGGGGUAAAGGCCUACCAAGGCAAUGAUGCGUAGCCGAGUUGAGAGACUGAUCGGCCACAUUGGGACUGAGACACGGCCCAAACUCCUACGGGAGGCAGCAGUAGGGAAUCUUCCACAAUGGACGCAAGUCUGAUGGAGCAACGCCGCGUGAGUGAAGAAGGUUUUCGGAUCGUAAAGCUCUGUUGUUGGUGAAGAAGGAUAGAGGCAGUAACUGGUCUUUAUUUGACGGUAAUCAACCAGAAAGUCACGGCUAACUACGUGCCAGCAGCCGCGGUAAUACGUAGGUGGCAAGCGUUGUCCGGAUUUAUUGGGCGUAAAGCGAGCGCAGGCGGAAUGAUAAGUCUGAUGUGAAAGCCCACGGCUCAACCGUGGAACUGCAUCGGAAACUGUCAUUCUUGAGUGCAGAAGAGGAGAGUGGAACUCCAUGUGUAGCGGUGGAAUGCGUAGAUAUAUGGAAAGAACACCAGUGGCGAAGGCGGCUCUCUGGUCUGCAACUGACGCUGAGGCUCGAAAGCAUGGGUAGCGAACAGGAUUAGAUACCCUGGUAGUCCAUGCCGUAAACGAUGAGCGCUAGGUGUUGGGG
rnacentral:rRNA from 1 species